rnacentral:ncRNA from 1 species
UGUAACUUCGGGAUAAAGCUUGGCUCUGAUGAAAAUCAGAACCGAUUGUUACGCGGAGAGCCCAACUGUUUAAUAAAAACUUAGUGUCGCGCUGUGGUAGUAUAGCCAGUGAACGCGACAUGAAUCCUGCUCAGUGCUGUGUCUGUUAAUAUGGUUCAAGCCAACGAAGCACCGGUAAAUAGCUGGGGUAACUAUGACUCUUAUCAAAGUAGCGAAAUACCUCGUCACUUAAUUAGUGACCUGCAUGAACGGAGCUAUGAGGUUCUCACUGUCCCAAACUGUCUCUCAGCGAACCAACUGUAGUGGGAACGGUCACUAGAUAUCCAGCGGGGAAAGAAGACCCUGUAGAGCUUCACUUUGGUCUAGUCUUGUAUAGUUCCUGCGGGGGUGUAGACUAGGUGGGAGAGCAAUCGAUUCUGAAAAACCACUACCCUGUUUGGAAUUAUGCUUACCUAUCACAAGGAAUAGGACUAGAUAGAAAGUUUGGCUGGGGCGGCACACCUUCGAAAGAGCAGCGAAGGUGUCCUAAGUUGAGCUCAGUGAGGACAGAAAUCUCACGUUGAGGAUAAGGCCAAAAGCUCAAUUUACUGUGCCUUUUUGUACUAGGAUCAGUUACGAAAGUAAGGCCUAACGAUCCCUAAAUAGCCUCAGGUGCGUGAGGAUUGGGGUGACAGACAAGUUACCUCCGGGACAACUGGCUUGUGGCUGCUAAGAGAUCAAAUCAACGCAGCUUUUUGAUUCUUCGAUGUCGGCUCUUCCUAUCCUAGUGAUGUACAAGUUGCUAAGGGUCGGAUUGUUCACCCGUAUUAGGGAUCGUGAGCUGGGUUUAGACCGUCGUGAGCCAGGUUUGUUU